GACGAACGCUGGCGGCGUGCUUAACACAUGCAAGUCGAACGGAAAGGCCCUGCUUUUGUGGGGUGCUCGAGUGGCGAACGGGUGAGUAACACGUGAGUAACCUGCCCUUGACUUUGGGAUAACUUCAGGAAACUGGGGCUAAUACCGGAUAGGAGCUCCUGCUGCAUGGUGGGGGUUGGAAAGUUUCGGCGGUUGGGGAUGGACUCGCGGCUUAUCAGCUUGUUGGUGGGGUAGUGGCUUACCAAGGCUUUGACGGGUAGCCGGCCUGAGAGGGUGGCCGGCCACAUUGGGACUGAGAUACGGCCCAGACUCCUACGGGAGGCAGCAGUGGGGAAUUUUGCACAAUGGGCGGAAGCCUGAUGCAGCAACGCCGCGUGCGGGAUGACGGCCCUCGGGUUGUAAACCGCUUUCGCCUGUGACGAAGCGUGAGUGACGGUAAUGGGUAAAGAAGCACCGGCUAACUACGUG
rnacentral:rRNA from 1 species